rnacentral:lncRNA from 1 species
UGUAAUAGCCGAAUUUUUUAUCUCGAAUUUUUAAUUGGUGAACGUAUAAUAUCCGUAUAAAUCAUGUAUCCGAAUAAUUGGUGAAUCCGUCUUUUUAGCCGUAUUUUUCAAUGAAUUUAAAAUUAGAAGACGAAUUUUAUCCGAAUUAUACCCGUACCGAAUUUUUGCCGAAUCCGAAUUAACUAACUAUAUUUGAUCGUCACGGUAUGU